AUAGAAAUGAGGAUCCUUUCCCCAUAUGAUCGAAGCUGAUUCAAACUGUGCUUUUUUUGAAAGUAAAUGUCGGCCUCUGUUUCAUGGGGGUUGAUUUUUCAAGCCAGAACUCUGAUCUUU